rnacentral:rRNA from 1 species
GAGUUUGAUCCUGGUUCAGAACGAACGCUGGCGGCGUGCCUAACACAUGCAAGUCGAACGGAGGUAAGGAGCUUGCUCCUUACUUUAGUGGCGCACGGGUGAGUAACGCGUAGAUAAUCUGCCUGAUGAUCUGGGAUAACACUUCGAAAGGGGUGCUAAUACCGGAUAAGCCCACGGGGUCUUUGGAUUCUGCGGGAAAAGGGGGGGACCUUCGGGCCUUCUGUCAUCAGAUGAGUCUGCGUACCAUUAGCUAGUUGGUAGGGUAAUGGCCUACCAAGGCUACGAUGGUUAGCUGGUUUGAGAGAAUGAUCAGCCACACUGGAACUGAGACACGGUCCAGACUCCUACGGGAGGCAGCAGUGGGGAAUUUUGCGCAAUGGGCGAAAGCCUGACGCAGCAACGCCGCGUGAGUGAUGAAGGCUUUCGGGUCGUAAAGCUCUGUCAAUGGGAAAGAAGUGUAUUAUGGCUAAUAUCCAUGAUACUUGACGGUACCCAUAAAGGAAGCACCGGCUAACUCCGUGCCAGCAGCCGCGGUAAUACGGGGGGUGCAAGCGUUGUUCGGAAUUAUUGGGCGUAAAGAGCGUGUAGGCGGUUUGUUAAGUCUGUUGUGAAAGCCCUGGGCUCAACCCAGGAAGUGCACUGGAUACUGGCAGACUUGAAUACGGGAGAGGGCAGUGGAAUUCCUAGUGUAGGAGUGAAAUCCGUAGAUAUUAGGAGGAACACCGGUGGCGAAGCGGCUGCCUGGACCGAUAUUGACGCUGAGACGCGAAAGCGUGGGUAGCAAACAGGAUUA